ensembl:lincRNA
GUGGCAACGCUGGUUCGAGCCUCAGCUGAGUCAGUUGGUGUUUCUGUGUGGAGUUUGCAUGUUCUCCCUGCGUUCGCGUGGGUUUCCUCCGGUUGCUUCAACUUCCCCCACAGUCCAAAGACACGCGGAACAGUGGCAACGCUGGUUCGAGCCUCGGCUGGGUCAGUUGGUGUUUCUAUGUGGAGUUUGCAUGUUCUCCCUGCGUUCGAGUGGGUUUCCUCCGGUUGCUUCGACUUCUUCAACAGUCUAAAGACACGCGGAACAGGCACAGCUUUAACACAACAGCAGCCUUUUCAAAGUGGACAGAAUUCUUUGAGAUUCAAUCUAAAGCUAAGUAUUUUGUUUCAGUUGUUUGUACUGCCUUGUAAUACAGUCACAUUUUCAGCAUAAUGUUAAAUCUUAGUCUCAUUCAAGUGUUGUGUUUUUUUUAUGUUUUUACUACCAGAAGACCCAAGAAGAUGUGUUGACUGAGAAAACAAAUGUCCUGCAGUAUUGUUGAGGAAGACAUCUGCCUAACUAUAUAUUGGAGAAGACCAGGUGUAUGCGCACUACGGCAUUGCAGAAUGAUGGACCAGAGGAAGAACAUCUCUAAUACAGAGGUAUUCUGAAACAAGAGAAGAACAGGUGUUUGGCAUUGCACACCACAGAAUUGCAGGAUGACGGACCAGAGGAUAUACAGUCUGUGCAUGCCAGAUCCAGAGGCCAGAUGGUGGAAGACGGUGUCCUGCAACAUUUUAGAUAAUUUUAACGUUGUUUAAAAAUGUUAUUAGCUUAUACAUUUAAAAAAUGUUAUGUUAUGUGCCACGCCCAAGAAAGAUGGGUACUCCCUUGCUGAGUCUGGUCUUUCCAAGGUUUCUCUCCAAACUUUUUGGAGUUUUUUUCCUUGCCACAGUCGCCAAUGGCUUGCUCACAGGGGGUGUUGUGCCAAGUCCUGUCUUCCCCUCGUGUCCUUUAUCUUUAAACUUAGAUUCCAUAGUAAUUUAGCCAUACAAAUGUUAAUAAAAAGGAGCUUAAAAUUAAUUUAAAACAAGUAAAAAUAGGCUUAAGAGUACAAAUAAAGCUUAGUCAAUCAUAUCAUCACAAUUUAGGAUAUUUAUAUGCAGCUUAGGUUUGAAUAUAUUUGCCAUUAAUAAAUACUAAUGAGUAAAAUGUUUGCACCAUAAACUAUUAAUUGUUAUAAAUCAAUGUAACUUUUUUUUUUCUCAGAUUAGAGCCGCAAAUUAUUUGCAGAAAGGGACAGUAGGUCAGGUAAAAAUUGAUUAUCAUCACAUAUGGCCAAAGUACAUUUUUACUUUAAACAACGUAAAAAAAUAAUAAAACCCAUUAGCAUUUAGAUCAGUUUCUUAGGGCACUUUAAUAUUAAUUAAUUAAUAAUAAUAAUAACAACAAAACUUUUGUGUUUAUAGCUGGCAUGGUCUUUAUUAAAUAAACAUUCCCAGCACCAAUUUAUAGCAAAUAAUCAUGUCAUUUUAUUAUUUUUAAUUAAACUAUGUUUAGCAGGGUGGUUGAACUGCAGAUUUAUUUAUAAAUUUAACUCUGCCACUGUACACAGUAUGUGAUAGUGCACUGAAUGAGGUUUUAAAUUAAAAUCAACCAUUUUAAAUGCACAUAUAUAUAUAUAAUAUUAUAUAAUUUAUUAUAAUAUAUAAUUAAUAUAAUAUAUUAUAGUAUAAAAAUUAGUAUAAUUUACAAUGAUGUGUUUAAGAAAAACAUCCAUAUUGGAAUUAAACAGUCAUUAGGUAGACUUUAUUAUUGCUCUAUUGCUUAAUUCAUUAUUCUAACAUUUUAGUAGGUGUGACUGGGAUCAGACUGGUGGACAGGAUUUGGCACAACAGGCUUUUUUUUAAUCAAUUUAAUAAACAAUUUGGUUUAAUUGGCACAGUCA